rnacentral:misc_RNA from 1 species
GAUGAAGAACGUAGCGAAAUGCGAUAAGUAAUGUGAAUUGCAGAAUUCAGUGAAUCAUCGAAUCUUUGAACGCACAUUGCGCCCGCCAGUAUUCUGGCGGGCAUGCCUGUUCGAGCGUCAUUACAACCCUCAGGCCCCCGGGUCUGGCGUUGGGGAUCGGCGGAGCCCCCCGUGGGCACACGCCGUCCCCCAAAUGCAGUGGCGGUCCCGCCGCAGCUUCCAUCGCGUAGUAGCUAACACCUCGCGACUGGAGAGCGGCGCGGCCACGCCGUAAAACACCCAACUCUUCUGAAGUUGACCUCGAAUCAGGUAGGAAUACCCGCUGAACUUAAGCAUAUCAAUAAGCGGAGGA